UACGAAGGGGGCGAGCGUUGUUCGGAUUUACUGGGCGUAAAGCGUGCGUAGGUGGUUCGUUAAGUCUGUCGUGAAAGCCCCGGGCUCAACCUGGGAAUGGCGAUGGAUACUGGCGGGCUAGAGUGCGGUAGAGGAGAGUGGAAUUCCCGGUGUAGCAGUGAAAUGCGUAGAGAUCGGGAGGAACAUCAGUUGCGAAGGCGGCUCUCUGGACCAGCACUGACACUGAGGCACGAAAGCGUGGGGAGCAAACAGG
rnacentral:rRNA from 1 species